rnacentral:rRNA from 1 species
AUUGAACGCUGGCGGCAGGCCGAACACAUGCAAGUCGAGCGAGCGGCGGACGGGUGAGUAAUGUAUGGGGACUGCCUGAUGGAGGGGGCUAACUACUGGACACGAUCGCUAAUACCGCAUACCCUCAGAUAACCCAUAUGGUAUUAGCUUGUAGGGGAGGUAAAGGAUAACCUAGGCGACGAUCCCUAACUGGUCUGAGAGGAUGAUCAGCCACACUGGGACUGAGACACGGCCCAGAAUCCUACGGAGGUAGCAGUGGGGAAUAUUGCACAAUGGGCGCAAGCCUGAUGCAGCCAUGCCGCGUGUAUGAAGAAGGCCUGCGGGUUGUAAAGUACUUUCAGUCGGGAGGCGUUACCGACAGAAGAAGCACCGGCUAACUCCGUGCCAGCAGCCGCGGUAAUUC